rnacentral:lncRNA from 1 species
CACAUAAACAGGAAGCUGCCCUUUUCCAUGGUAAGUUUCACAAAGAAAAAGGAAGAGAUUGGCACCAGAUUGUUCUCCAUGAAGUGCAGCAUUUUACAUGCAUUUUAGUUGGGGUUUUUUUUUUUUUUUUCCGCACAGGAGUCAGUCAUGGGAGUAUAAAAGCUGGAGGACUUGUAUGGGGAUACCUUUGUUUCUGGUUGCCUGAGGAUCUGUACAUUAUAGCACCCGUGAUGCUGCUGAUGGAGACAAAGACACAUACACUUUACAACACAGUAUAUAAAACUGUACUCAUAACGAAAUGUAGAGCAUUGGGAAUGCAGUCUACCCCAGUGUCACGUCAGGCCGAGAGAACCGGGACAGAAGCAUAUUCUGCAAUAGACAGAAAGAAGGUAUUGCCGUCCAUCCAUCGGUCCAGCGCAGGGCGGUGGCGGUCCAGAGUCUGUCCUGGAAGCCCGGGGCGUGAGGCGGGACACCCACCGGACAGGACACCAGACGACUCCAGAGCAAUGGAGCCUUGGGUCCUGGAGCCCCAUGCAGUCUGA